rnacentral:rRNA from 1 species
GAGUUUGAUCGUGGCUCAGAUUGAACGCUGGCGGCAUGCCUUACACAUGCAAGUCGAACGGCAGCAUGAUCUAGCUUGCUAGAUUGAUGGCGAGUGGCGAACGGGUGAGUAAUACAUCGGAACGUGCCCUGUAGUGGGGGAUAACUAGUCGAAAGAUUAGCUAAUACCGCAUACGACCUGAGGGUGAAAGUGGGGGACCGCAAGGCCUCAUGCUAUAGGAGCGGCCGAUGUCUGAUUAGCUAGUUGGUGGGGUAAAGGCCCGCCAAGGCGACGAUCAGUAGCUGGUCUGAGAGGACGAUCAGCCACACUGGGACUGAGACACGGCCCAGACUCCUACGGGAGGCAGCAGUGGGGAAUUUUGGACAAUGGGCGAAAGCCUGAUCCAGCAAUGCCGCGUGUGUG